rnacentral:rRNA from 1 species
UAAGGAAUAUUGGUCAAUGGACGCAAGUCUGAACCGGCCAUGCCGCAUGAAGGAAGACGGCCCUACGGGUUGUAAACUUCUUUUGUACGGGAAAAAACCUCCGGUCGUGAACCGGAGCUGAUGGUACCGUAAGGAUAAGCAUCGGCUAACUCCGUGCCAGCAGCCGCGGUAAUACGGAGGAUGCAAGCGUUAUCCGGAUUCAUUGGGUUUAAAGGGUGCGCAGGCGGAAUGAUAAGUCAGUGGUGAAAUCCUACAGCUCAACUGUAGAACUGCCAUUGAUACUAUCGUUCUUGAGUACACUUAGAGUGGGCGGAAUGUGUGAUGAAGCGGUGAAAUGCUUAGAAAUGACACAGAACACCGAACGCGAAGGCAGCUCACUAAAUUGUAACUGACGCUCAGGCACGAAAGCGUGGGGAUCAAACAG